AUAGGGCGACUUAGUAUGAUGCAAUAGACCCGAAACCAAGUGAUCUAGCCAUGAGCAGGUUGAAGGUGAGGUAAUACUCACUGGAGGACCGAACAGGUGUACCCGGAAACGUGCUCUGAUGACUUGUGGCUAGCGGAGAAAUUCCAAACGAACUUGGAUAUAGCUGGUUCUCCCCGAAAUAGGUUUAGGCCUAGCGUUAUAAUUAAGCUUGCUGGAGGUAGAGCACUGAAUGGAUGAGGGCGGCAUCUCGCUGUACCAAUUUCAAUCAAACUCCGAAUGCCAGUGUAGUAUUUAUAGCAGUCAGUGUAUGGGUGAUAACGUCCAUACGCGAGAGGAAAAUAAUCCAGAUCACCAGUUAAGGUCCCAAAAUUUAUGCUAAGUGGGAAAGGAUGUGGAGUUGUCAAAACAGCUAGGAGGUUGGCUUAGAAGCAGCCAUCCUUUAAAGAGUGCGUAAUAGCUCACUAGUCGAGUGACACUGCGCCGAAGAUGUACCGGGGCUAAGCAUAAUACCGAAACUGUGAAUUCUUAUGAAUGGUAGGGGAGCGUUCCAAUUGCGAUGAAGGUAGACCGUGAGGACUGCUGGAGCGUUUGGAAGUGAGAAUGCCGGUGUGAGUAGCGCAAGCUGGGUGAGAAUCCCAGCCACCGAUUGUCUAAGGUUUUCUGGGGAAGGUUCGUCCUCCCAGAGUAAGUCGGGACCUAAGGCGAGGCUGAAAAGCGUAGUCGAUGGACAACAGGUUGAUAUUCCUGUACCGCCUAUGUAACUGAUGGAGUGACGGAGAAGGCUAACAAGAGCCAGUUAUUGGAUUCUGGUCUAAGCACAAAGACUUGUGAGUAGGUAAAUCCGCUACACUAUAAAGUUGAAGUGUUAUGGUGACGAGAACUUCGGUUCUUUAAAUCUUGUGACGCCAUGCUUCCAAGAAAAGCUUCUAGGGCUAAUUACAUAGGCGCCCGUACCCAGAACCGACACAGGUGGACAAGAAGAGUAUUCUAAGGUGAGCGAGAGAACUAUGGCUAAGGAACUCGGCAAAAUGACCCCGUAACUUCGGGAGAAGGGGAGGUUACUUCGGUAACCCGCAGUGAAUAGUCCCAGGCAACUGUUUACCAAAAACACAGCUCUCUGCUAAACCGCAAGGUGAUGUAUAGGGGGUGACACCUGCCCAGUGCUGGAAGGUUAAGAGGAAGGGUUAGUAUGGCGUAAGCUAUGAUACGAAGCUCUGAAUUGAAGCCCCAGUGAACGGCGGCCGUAACUAUAACGGUCCUAAGGUAGCGAAAUUCCUUGUCGGGUAAGUUCCGACCCGCACGAAAGGUGUAACGAUCUGGGCACUGUCUCGACCAUAGACUCGGUGAAAUCUUAAUACCUGUGAAAAUGCAGGUUACCCGCAACAGGACGGAAAGACCCCGUGGAGCUUUACUGUAGCUUGAUAUUGAGCUUCGGUAUGUUAUGUAGAGGAUAGGUGGGAGACGUUGAUACUAUGGCGCCAGCUAUAGAGUAGUCAUCCUUGGAAUACCACCCUUAACAUAUUGGAGUUCUAACCUAGACCCAUUAUCUGGGCCAGGGACAGUGUCUGGUGGGCAGUUUGACUGGGGCGG
rnacentral:rRNA from 1 species